CGGUUGAUCCUGCCGGAGGUUACUACUAUCGGAGUUCGAUUAAGCCAUGCGAGUCUAAAGGUUUCUUCGGAAGCCUUGGCGGACUGCUCAGUAACACGUGGAUAACCUACCCUUGGGACUGGAAUAACCCCGGGAAACUGGGGAUAAUACCGGAUAGAUCAGGGAUGCUGGAAUGCACCUUGAUCCAAAGCUCCGGCGCCCAAGGAUGGGUCUGCGGCCUAUCAGGUUGUAGUGGGUGUAACGUACCUACUAGCCGACGACGGGUACGGGUUGUGAGAGCAAGAGCCCGGAGAUGGAUUCUGAGACACGAAUCCAGGCCCUACGGGGUGCAGCAGGCGCGAAACCUUUACAAUGUGCGAAAGCAUGAUAAGGGAACUCCGAGUGCCAGUAUCUAAUACUGGCUGUCCUUGUGCCUAAACCGCACAAGAUAGCAAGGGCCGGGUAAGACCGGUGCCAGCCGCCGCGGUAACACCGGCGGCCCGAGUGGUAGCCGCUAUUAUUGGGUCUAAAGGGUCCGUAGCCGGUUCGAUAAGUCCUCUGGGAAAUCUGGUUGCUUAACAAUCAGACUGCCAAGGGAUACUGUUGAACUUGAGACCGGGAGAGGUAAGAGGUACUUCAGGGGUAGGAGUGAAAUCUUGUAAUCCCUGGGGGACCAUCUGUGGCGAAGGCGUCUUACCAGAACGGGUCUGACGGUGAGGGACGAAAGCUGGGGGCGCAAACCGGAUUAGGUACCCGGGUAGUCCCAGCCGUAAACGAUGCUCGCUAUGUGUCNNNACGGUGUGACCGUAUCUGGUGCCGUAGGGAAGCCGUGAAGCGAGCCACCUGGGAAGUACGGUCGCAAGACUGAAACUUAAAGGAAUUGGCGGGGAGCAC
rnacentral:rRNA from 1 species